rnacentral:rRNA from 1 species
AGCGAACGCUGGCGGCAGGCCUAACACAUGCAAGUCGAACGCCCCUUCGGGGGAGUGGCGGACGGGUGAGUAACGCGUGGGAACGUGCCCUUUGGUACGGAACAACUGAGGGAAACUUCAGCUAAUACCGUAUGUGCCCUAUGGGGGAAAGAUUUAUCGCCAUUGGAGCGGCCCGCGUUGGAUUAGGUAGUUGGUGGGGUAAAGGCCCACCAAGCCGACGAUCCAUAGCUGGUCUGAGAGGAUGAUCAGCCACACUGGGACUGAGACACGGCCCAGACUCCUACGGGAGGCAGCAGUGGGGAAUCUUGCGCAAUGGGCGAAAGCCUGACGCAGCCAUGCCGCGUGAAUGAUGAAGGUCUUAGGAUUGUAAAAUUCUUUCACCGGGGACGAUAAUGACGGUACCCGGAGAAGAAGCCCCGGCUAACUUCGUGCCAGCCGCCGCCGUAAAAC